UUGUUCGCAUGAACAACGCUUAAAAGAUGGCUUCUCGCUAUCACUUCUGGAUGGACCUGCGGUGCAUUAGCUUGUUGGUGGGGUAACGGCCUACCAAGGCGAUGAUGCAUAGCCGAGUUGAGAGACUGAUCGGCCACAAUGGGACUGAGACACGGCCCAUACUCCUACGGGAGGCAGCAGUAGGGAAUCUUCCACAAUGGGCGCAAGCCUGAUGGAGCAACACCGCGUGAGUGAAGAAGGGUUUCGGCUCGUAAAGCUCUGUUGUUAAAGAAGAACACGUAUGAGAGUAACUGUUCAUACGUUGACG
rnacentral:rRNA from 1 species